GCACCCGUAGCUCAAUUGGAUAGAGCAUCUGACUACGGAUCAGAAGGUUUGGAGUUCGAAUCUCCACGGGUGUACGA
rnacentral:tRNA from 1 species